GGCUGGAACUCCUGGGCUGAAGCAAUCCUCCUGACUUGACCUGCCAAGUAGCUGAGACUACAGGCAUGUGCCACUGUGCCUGGCUUAUUCUUCUUAGUCCUUACUUGAGUAUUUAGACAUUCUUCCCAAAUGCUUUGUCACAACUAACUCAUUUCCCCUCAAAAUCCAAGUGAGAAUCUUCAGACACUUCCUAUAGGCCCAGAUAUCUAGGGCUUGUCAAUUAAUGUUGUAAUUAAUUAAUUUUUAUCAUAAUUUGUAAAAAAAAUGCAUCUAAAUCACAGACUUAAAAAAUGUCACCCCCAAAAGGUAGUUCAUUUUGGGGAAUGCUUUUUUAAAAAUGUGGGGUCUCCUUGUUAUAAACUAGGUUUUUGCAAAGGUAUAUGAAAAAGUGAGGUUUGAAUUUGAUAGUGCCUUGAAUACUGCUCUUCCAGAUUGAGAAAUUAAUAAUACACUGUUUGAGGAAGGAACCCACAUCAAUAGAAAGAGGACAUACAAGUGCACCUGCAUGUAUUCUGAUGUUUGGAUAUGAAUGUUGAUAUAGUGGAUAGUUUACCCAGCAAGUAUUCAGUGCUUUCCUCCUUGCUUCUGAGCAUCCCUGAAGUUCUAGGGACACAAAGUAAAAGACAUGAUCGUUGCCUUCUAGGGGAUUCAGAAGGGAAGGUCACCCCCGCACAUGGAAGAGCAGUGAUGCGCCCAUACUGCAACGUGCUCGGGAUACUGCGGGAAAGGGUUCCAGAACCAUUCCGCCUACUCACCAGCUCUAGGAUUUGGCAGCCAACACCCUCCUCUGACCUCCGAGGCUCGGCGUUAUUGACUAACCCUAACAGGGAUGGAUCCCGCCUUCCCUGCCUCACAGUGACUUCUGUGAGGGUUAAACGAGAGCCAUGAAAACCAUGCAUGUCAGUAUUUCCCAGUAAACACUUAGUGACGGAAGUGCUGCGGUGGGGACCAGCGUUCGCAAAGUGCAGAAGACACGGUUCCCCAAGUGAAGCUUGAAGACCUAGAAAGACCUGAGUCAGGUUUUCCACUGAGAUGUGAACCAGCUCCUGGGGGCCCCUGGGGUGCUGCCUUGUUGACCGCAGGCCUUUAAGAUCUUUGUGUACCGCUGAGACCUCUUGAUUCUAAGUUUUACAAUACUGCCCAGUUGACAUCCAGAAUCCUGGCAGAGGAAAAAAAGCAGGUAGACAAAAAGCAUCACGUUUUCAUUUUUUAUCAUCAUUAAAUGACCUCAAAAUUAUUUUAUAU